rnacentral:lncRNA from 1 species
CUAGCAAUGCCAUUUACUUACGGAUCCUGUCUGGUGGCUUUCUUAUCUUGGUGCUUCUCUGAACUUUGAGUUUUUCGCUGUCAGAGAAGAGAGAGGGUUAGACCAGAGGUUCUCAAAGGUUAGUGUUUGCCCCAUGAUCUUCGGCCAUGUUUGGAGACAAUUCUGGUUUUCACAAGUGAGAGGACGUGUGCUCCUGGCACCUGGUGGGGUGAGGCCAGGGACGCUGCUAAGCAUCGGCCAUGCACGGUACAGUCGCUGCAGGGAUGAAUUAUCUAGCCCCAAAUAGCAUUAGCACUGGGGUUGAGAAGCCCUGGAUCAGACCCGUGUGCUCAUCCAUCACAUUUGUAGUGUAAGUGAAUCCAGAAUUUGUACCCAAUGCCCAAUAUUCCUACCUCGUGUUUUCUUCCAUGAAAAUUCCACAAAUUUCAGUUGGUCCCCAUAGAGGUAUCUCUUUUUCAUCCUUCCCUUUUGACAAGCUCUGGCCCCUCUUGUGGCACCAAUUGCACUCUCUGGCAACUACCUAUUCACCAAUUGCACUCUCUGGCAACUACCUAUUUGUCUUUUGUUCCUGUCAAUGAGUCUUCUUAAUGUUACUAUUGAAUGAAAAUUCAGUAUGGUGGCUUUUUUUAUACAUGGGUCUGAUAGCAUCACUAAGUUUAUUCUCAGAUAGUCCUGAAGGGAAAAAGGCAAAGGAUUUAAAGCUCUUUGACUAAUGAAAGAAUGAGCCUCUGAUACUGGGGGAGGUUCCAGAGCCAACCUGGAGAUGUUCUAGAUGGAGAGUAACAGUCUGUAGCAGUUUUUUUGUGCCCAUUUAAGACUGUUUUACUACAACAUAUGACCUAACAAAUACAAUUUAUUUUUUCUCCUUUUUCUUAGAAGAGGGCCAGAUCUUUUCAUUUAGAAAGUGAAAGGAGGCAGAGAAGCUAAAAGAUCGAAUAAACCUGGGAAAGGAAUCAAGAACACAGUCAUCACAUUUGGUGAUGACAUUAAAUUAAGGAGCAUUGUUACUGCUUUAGAGGAUUUGGAAUAACUUUUAUAUGACCCUGAUCACUUACAAAAGUAGUUUAAUAAAUCAGCAUUUUAUUCUGACUUAGAGGCAAAAUUCCAAAAUCAUAAACAAAGGGUAGAGAAAAAACCAUCUUGGGAAUUAUUUUUCCACUAGCUGAAUAUUGAACAGCAGUAGGAAAGCCAAUGGGAUAUUAGAAAUUGUUAAAAGGUGUCUAAAAAAUUUUAAGUGCAUUUGAUUCCCUGUGGUGUAUAAAGUACCUUCACAUUACUAUCUUCAGCAGCUCUUAUUAAAUAUUGAGAGUUAGGGGUGAUCAUUAUCCCCAUUUUAUAAAUGAAGUGAUUGAGGUUCAGAGAGGUCAUAGAAUUUUUUCCACUGGCACCAAAUGUUAAACAGAAGGCCUGAUUUCAGGCGUGGGCUGUGAACCUCAUAGGCCUCCUGCUCUGCAGACAGCGCCCCCUCAGAACUGCCAUCUAUUGCUGUGAUUUUGAAGUUGGCCUAUGUGUGGUUCACUGCCUUGGAGUAGCACUAUGAUUUGCUCUUCCUUAUUGGUCUUUUAACCAAUUAUAUUAGCCCAGAAACAGUUAUCCUUCGGUGCCGGGAGCCAUUAGCCAAGUAGGUAUGACAAUUUCCUUGCCAGCGUACCCCAUGUUGCUUAGUGGAAGGACUCGUGGAAAUAGGACAUUUUGCAGUGACAUUGCAUGUAGGUGACCUUGCUCAAGGACCAAGGCGGAUCCGAGUUUAGGGCGUUCCCGGUUUAGGACUAUCUGGGUUUAGGGUGGUUCCAGGUUUAAGGUUAUUCCUGCUGGGAAUAGGGCGUAUGCUGCUGCCUGAGUUCCCCUUGAGUUCUCACGGGAUUCAGACAGUAUUUUUUGGGAGACAGAAGCCCAGUGGGUGUGGAUUAGGGCAGAGAACGUGGAUUUCCCCAGAACGUGAUUGUAGACGGCUGGUGUGAGUUCGGGAAUAAAGAGUUGCUGUUUGAAUCUACAAGCUGUGUGGUGGCUCGUGAUUGUGUGCCCAGCCAGAUUGCAGCACUUUGGCUGUGCUUUAUCAGACCCUAGGAUAGACCUCCCUUGGCCACCGUGAACCAGAUUUCAUUUAAGCACCCUAUGCAUGGGUUUCAUUCGAGGGAAGCUUUUCUGGCUAGAUUUUACUUUUUAUUUUGUUUAACGUAUUCUGUACUUUUUGAUUUUUAAAGAAAUAAAUGUAUAUCAGUG